UACUUUCUUGUGGUUUGCUCUUUCCACUAAAAAGCAGAAUGCAUAAAAUAUUCUGAUUAGUUGAGGAUUAUUACUUAGGUUCCAACUAAUGUUUUAUAUAUAAAUCUAAAUUACUAUUCUUCCUUCAUUCUCCUUCCCUUUCGGUUUGGUCAAAUCCCUGUGGGAGAGAGUAGCAUUCCUGUGGUGCUGGUGCUCCAUGGAAGAUUGAGAUGUGGAUCCCACUAUGGAGAAGUUUACAGAUAAGAAAACUAAGAUCAAAGAAGGAAAGCGAAGGAGGUCAAUCCGCUCCUUAGGAAAGUCUGGACUAACCCCUUUAGAAGUUCCUGCAUGCACACAAAGCUUCAAGGUGAGUGCUAGAAUGAUCCUCCUGGGGUGAUGAUAAACACCACCACCUUGGGCCUACUGAGCAGGCGCAAGGACCAAAGCCCUA